rnacentral:rRNA from 1 species
CAAUAGCGUAUACUAAAGUUGUUGCGAUUAAAAAGCUCGUAGUUGGAUCUCAGGCAUGGGCGCACGGUCCGCCUCGCGGCGGUCACUGUGUGUUUUGUUUCCCAUCCUACGCUUCCCGGUUAUCAGCCCAUGGUGCUCUUCACUGAGCGUUUUGGGUGGCCGGAACGUUUACUUUGAAGAAAUUAGAGUGUUCAAAGCAGGCACGUCGCCUGAAUAAUGGUGCAUGGAAUAAUGGAAUAGGACCUCGGUUCUAUUUUGCUGGUUUUCGGAACACGAGGUAAUGAUUAAGAGGGACAGACGGGGGCAUCCGUAUUGCGGUGUUAGAGGUGAAAUUCUUGGAUCAUCGCAAGACGAACAACUGCGAAAGCAUUUGCCAAGCAUGUUUCCAUUAG